rnacentral:tRNA from 1 species
GCCCGCAUAGUGUAAUGGCAGCACGACAGUCUCCAAAACUGUUUGUGAGGGUUCAAGUCCUUCUACGGGUGCCA